rnacentral:rRNA from 1 species
GUGGAGCAUGUGGUUUAAUUCGAUGCAACGCGAAGAACCUUACCUGGUCUUGACAUCCACGGAAGUUUUCAGAGAUGAGAAUGUGCCUUCGGGAACCGUGAGACAGGUGCUGCAUGGCUGUCGUCAGCUCGUGUUGUGAAAUGUUGGGUUAAGUCCCGCAACGAGCGCAACCCUUAUCCUUUGUUGCCAGCGGUCCGGCCGGGAACUCAAAGGAGACUGCCAGUGAUAAACUGGAGGAAGGUGGGGAUGACGUCAAGUCAUCAUGGCCCUUACGACCAGGGCUACACACGUGCUACAAUGGCGCAUACAAAGAGAAGCGGCCUCGCGAGAGCAAGCGGACCUCAUAAAGUGCGUCGUAGUCCGGAUUGGAGUCU